UUCUUUCUUUUUUCUUCUUUCUGGACUCUCUCUUCUUCUUCUUCUCUCUUCUCUGAGCCUCUCAAACUCUUCAAAGAAAUUCUCUCUCUCUCUCUCUCUCUGGCACGGGCCUUCGAUUCUCAGCCUCUCUCUGGCCAUGAUGGGAUUUCAGUAGCUCUGGUUAAACUGGACUUCCACUCUUCCAGCUCUCUGGCUCUCCCAUGACUCUGUGUUUCUGGGUUCAGUAGCAAAAGUGGAACUAUGGUCUCAUUGAUUCUGUUAGGAAGCAUAUGCAGGAAACCAAAAGGAAAACUUCAUCAAAUUGAUAAAUCCAGAAGAUGCAUGGAUCUAUUCCUUAGUGCGUGCGAGAGCAGUAAAAGGUGUCAGUUGGACACAUUCCAGAAUUUCUCCCCCUUCCCUAGGUUCUCUCCCAAUAUACGGGAGAUAGUGUCUUCCUAGACAGUGCAGUUUCGGUUUUAUGAGUUUUGUGUUCUUUAUAGUACUACAACGAUGAUAUGGUUCAGUUUGGUGUAACUUUAUCCCACGUGAUUGUGAUCAGUUGGCGCACCUUUUAAUAA